GGGCUGAUGGCGUAGCCGGUAACGCAUGUCGACGACUCUCGCAGUCAAGACAAGUCUCAGGUUCGAUUCCUGGUCAGCUCA